rnacentral:lncRNA from 1 species
UUAAAGCUCAAAAGAGUCAUUCCUGAGGAAUGUUGUUUACAUAGGUGAUAUGAAGCGGUUAUGUACGAACUUUUCGUGCCAGAUUAUCUGCUUUAACAUUAGCCCUACGAGAAAUUAAAGAUAAAGAAAAAGAUGAAAACUUCUCCUUGUCGGUAUGAAAUUCCUCCAGAUACACUGAAAACGCCGGCCAUUCGGUUGGAGAAGACACCAUCUUCACCAGGUCUGAACAGUCUGUAAAGAACGCUACCUCUUGA